rnacentral:rRNA from 1 species
UACGUAGGGCGCAAGCGUUGUCCGGAAUUAUUGGGCGUAAAGAGCUCGUAGGCGGCCUGUUGCGUCCGCUGUGAAAUCCCGGGGCUCAACCCCGGGCCUGCAGUGGAUACGGGCUGGCUAGAGGCAGGCAGGGGAGAACGGAAUUCCCGGUGUAGCGGUGAAAUGCGCAGAUAUCGGGAGGAACACCGGUGGCGAAGGCGGUUCUCUGGGCCUGUACUGACGCUGAGGAGCGAAAGCGUGGGGAGCGAACAGG